rnacentral:rRNA from 1 species
CCCUUAGAUGUUCUGGGCCGCACGCGUGCUACACUGAGUGGAUCAGCGGGUCAGGUUGCGCGAAAGUGUUUCCUAAUCUUGAAAUCCGCUCGUGAUGGGGAUUGACGGUUGCAAUUUUCCGUCAUGAACGAGGAAUACCUUGUAAGCGCGGGUCAUCAUCCCGCGCUGCAUACGUCCCUGCCCUUUGUACACACCGCCCGUCGCUCCUACCGAUUGAGUGGUCCGGUGAGGCUUUGGGAUCUGAGCGGAAAGAGCGUUUCGCUGUUUCUGCUCGGAAAACUCAGUCGAACCUUAUCAUUUAGAGGAAGGAGAAGUCGUAACA